AAAUUCCUCUUAUCUCCUUUUUGACCCUUGGACUCAAACAGCACAAAGACCAGUAACCUGGAUACAGAAAUCAAAUGAACAGAAGAGCAACCAAAGGCUGGAGCUUUAGGUACUGAGGAGAGACCACAGAGCCCCCCUCAUCAUCAGAGACAUCCCAUCAUGGGAUGCUGGGUUCAGAUGGUGAAGAGACUGACUGCAGUAUGUCUGUCUGGACCGGCUGCUAACAACUUCAGCAAGGGAUAAUCAACUAGCCUGCAGGCAGCAAGGAUUGUAGUUUCUCCAAUGUAAGUGAAACAAAUGGGAUGUAAAGCUACCUUUCCCUCACAGAUAUCUCAACAUCCAUCAAUUAGCUGAAAGUAGAUAAGCAAGAGUAAGUAAGAGAAAGCGGUUUGUUAACAUGGCACUAAAAUAUACAAAACUGGAAAGUUGUUUGUCACUACAAAACAUACAGUGGAAGCUAGAUUAUUCAGUAAACAUUCAAUUCAAUUAAUUUUUAUUUGUACAGCCCAAAUUCACAACAACAGUCAUCUCAAUGGGCUUUGUACUGGUAAUUGUAAAGUGAACAGACAAUAAAAAGGAGAACUCAAUAGGAAAAUACUAAACGUUAACUAAACUGACUAAACUAAACUAGUAAUCCCUGCCCUUAGACCCUCCUUCGUCAUCAACAUCAACAUACUUCCAUUUUGUGUAAAUAUUGUUUGUUGACUUUUAUGUCUUGUAAAUAAGAUCAAACUGAUGGCUUAUUUAUUUAAAAAAUACAUUGAAAGAAAUGUUUUUCAAAUAACAAAUCGUUCAAAUGCAAUGCAUUGUGGUUUUUAUUUACCAAUAGUGAGCAUCGAUGUGUGUUGGUUUUUCGCAGGUUUCUGAGAAAAUUCUCGGGCACUGUAUUUUAGAAUUGUAGACUCAGACAAAAUGUCAAAUGCUCUUUAGAGUGCACUUAGUAGUGAGUAGUGAAGGAAUUUGGACACAACCUUGAUGAAUUGGGGUCUAGUAAAAUCUUGUUAAGACGUGGUCGUCCUGGUGUUUGUCUUUGAUGUCGGAUGUUGACAGCCAUGCAUGGUCUCUCAGGGCUGUUUGGGUGUUUUCUCAGAGUCUUUGGGUUAAAUAUGUUUGUUGGUGCUAACUUUGCAGCGUUAAAUCAAGAAUUCCCCAAAGACCUGGAGGCAUGUCAUGUGAUAGUUGAGGUUUUGUGCUAUUUGGCCAUCAGUAUUGCUGACUUGACUGAGGUUUUUGAGUGUGGGGUUUGGCGACUCUUUAAGAUGGUGUAAAUAAAAGACAUAGCUAAGAUCAAUUUUGCUAACAUGUGCUAACUCUGUCUUGUUUUUUCUGUGUGAUCCAGCUGCCUCGAUCUGUGUUUUCUAUGUUUGUUAAUUUAGCUGAUGAUGAUAUUUUUUCUACUAACAGAGCACUUCUUGUCCUUGAUCUUGCUGAUGACAAACGCACCUGCUGGAAAAAAUGGCGGAGUAGUACAAUAGUAAUAGCAGUAGCAGACACAUCUGAUGUUAAUCUAACAAUUAAAUAUCUUGUUGAGUCACAAAAGAAAAACUGUCUUAACGUUGGGAAGAGAGAUCUGCAGAAACAGCUUAAUGUGUUUUUGUUUUUCAUUCAUCUUCUGAACCUGCUAAGUCCCUUUCACAGAGCUGCUGGAGCCAACCCAGCUACUGUUGACCAAAGGCAGGCUUUACCCUGGACAGGUUGCCAGUCUGUCGCAGGGCCAUGUCUUUCAAUGUACUCUAAACACCUGUGAAUCUGCAUUUCCGGUCUCUUCGUUCAAAACUCUCAUGUUCACACUUCGUUAAGUACAUUUCUGCAAUCAUUUUUGGGGCUCUACUUUUCAAUAAGUCUCAAAAAAUGGGUAUGGGUUAGGAAAAUGGAUGGAUGGUAUAUUUGACUUGUACUAAUCUAAAUUACAUUACCAAGGAAAAAAAUGAUACAUGUUUUACAAUAAAAUUAUAAAAACUAGUCUCCUGGUUUGAGACCAAAACAUUUGGCAAUGACUUUACAUUUUUUGAAAGUGGUGACCUUACUUUUAAAUAAAUAGUUAAUGCACUUCCUAUUGUUGGAUUAGUGAGUCAAAAACAUUCUAAGGAAUGAGAGUAUGCGGGAAGAAUCAGUAUUCACAACAUGCAAGCGAUACAUGGAAACAAAAUUGUCUUUCAUACCCUCAGGUAUUAAUUAAACAUGUGAGACACCUAAUACAAUUUUGAGGUGAUUCAUGUUUGUUAAGAUUGUCUAAUAUUAACUCAUUCAUAUAUUUGACAGGAAGAUAAAAGGAUUACAGAGGGAAAUUGUCCUGUUAUGAUAUGCUUCAGCCCCAUUGCAAUGAUUACACGACGGAGGGUAUGAAUUAUGGGAUUCAUUCUUGGCUUUGCGUCCCAGAGGACAAACCUUUCUACUGUACUUGACUUUAAAGUCCAACCUGAUAUAUCUGACAAUUGUCUUUCCAAAUCUGACCCGCAUGUGACCGCACCUGAUGGAUGCUUCUGCCCCGGUGAGCUCUACAGAGAGGUUACCAACUGGUCCACAGGUUGAGGGAUAUCGUGCUUCUCCUCCCUGGUCAGGAUGCCGCUGUCUCCGUUGACAAACAACCCCUCUGUUUGUGGUGAAUCAGCAAGAAAAAGUGAAAAAUGGCCUCAGUGAUUCAAAGCUAAACAUCUGUGUGCCUCCGCACGCUCACUAUACACAGAUUCAACAAGAGAAGCUUUUUUGCACCAAUUUUUCUUCUUCAACAAAAAAAAAAAAGUACCAAUGACGGUAGUUAAUAUGGGUUUAAUAAAUAAGGCUUCCAGUUGAUUAAAAUAACAAUAAUGUAUGGAUCAAAUAUAGAUACCUUGUUCUUCCUUGUCGCAAAUUUCAAUUUAUAGAGAUGACAAAAAUAAACUGUGUCAGCAGUUGUGUGUUUACAUCUUCAAAUGGGGUUUUAGGUCAUUCUGACAAAGCCUACAUGCUCCCUGGUUUGAUGUGAGCUGGUGCUGCUCAUGCAGAAAUAAUUAAACUGGUAAAUGGUGAGAAAUGAUUUGUCCCUGCUGUCUGGAAUUAAAUUAAGUGUCAAUACAGAGUAUUCAUUUACUUGUGCUGUUUCGAUGAAAAGCAGAGGAGGAAAAUAAAUCACAAAGGACUACAACAUUUCUCUCCUAUAAUUUUGCAUUCACAAUGGCUUUAAGAACAAUAACAUCCCUGUUUUUGGCCAUAAAGCAGAUCUGAGAGGAAAACAGUGUUUUAGAAACCCUCCAGUAUGCUUUAAGUCUUUCAGAUGUUAAGGCUGCUUGUGUGUCAUCAAUUCAAUUUUAUUUAUAUAGCCCAAUAUUUAGAACAAUAGUCAUCAUUGAUAAUGGGAAGAAACCUCCUUUCAAUCCAGAAAAUUCACCUUUAUUAAUAUUUGUGUGUUCAUGAGUGCAUUUAAUCCAGGAAUAACAUAGAUCGUUCCAUUUAUAGCCAUUAGAGUGUGAGGAUAAAUGAAAUGAGCCAGGUCCUUGUCAAUAACUGUCCUCUGACUUGUAUUUAAUAGGGUGAUAACUGGUAAAUGUGCUGCGCUACAUUAAGUUGCAUUGUUCAAUCUGUAAAGGAUCAAUUCUUUUUUUUUGUACAUCUUUUUUUUUAUUCUAAUCAGUCAUAAGCUUUUGCCAUUUUGGAGCAAAAAAGAAGAAGUUCAGUUACGUCCUGGAAAAGGACUGUGAGGCUGGAUGGAGGCUUCAGGUAAAAAAAAAUUUCUUUAAUCGGAUAUUUGAUUACCUGGCUUUUGGAUUUAACAGCCAGUUGUGUGGGAUUUGCAGGUUCACUUUGUAGGUGUGGAUUUUGUAUCCCUACUUUGUCCCACAGUUGCAAAACAUCUUUAAUGGGUUAAUUGGGAGCCCUAAAUGAUCCCUUAGGUGUGAGUGUGUCGGUGUGGCUCCAUGAUGGACUGGUGAACUGUCCAGGGAUAACGCUGCUUUCUCCACAGAAACUGACAUAAGUUUCAGCAUCUCAUGUGACCCUGACAUGCAUAGGACAGUGUGAGAAUAAUAGACAGAUGGAUGAAUUUUGUAAUUUUGCAGGUUUUGUAAAAAGGUGGGUUCUGUGUAAACGUAUUGCAGAGGAGCCCUGGUCGAAUUGUUGUAGCAGAGCGCAACGAGCAGCAAACUAUUGUGACAAAGGUGGAGCGUGUGAAAAAUGGUUUGAUGGAAGCAUCACCCUCUUGAAACAUGGUUUGAUAAAGAGAGGACUCCCAAAAGAUUGAUAUGACGUCUAAUUCAACUUACAUGGGAGUGACUGAGGGGUUUUUGCUAACUGAGAAGUUUUCUAAUAACAUCCGUUUAAACUCUCAGAGACGAUUGAGGAAACUGAUAAAUAAAAAGUAUUUUUAAAAACCUUUACACAUAAACAUUUAAAGUUUUUGCUCAAAGUGCAUUACAGUCAUGUUUUGUUGAAGGUUCACAAAAAGGAAUUUCUAGAUUUAAGAGAAAAAAAAGUCAAAUUAAAAUUCCCAACAAUGAUUACUGUAUCUAUAAGAUCAGGCUUAGCCUACAAUCUGAUUCACUUUUCUCCAUUGUUGUCUACUUAAACUUCCACUUUAUGUUAGGUUAGAUAGGAGGGGAACAUUUUUAAUCAAUCUAAAAACAGACCUUUGCUAACACCCACCGCAAUUUCCCUUUUUUUGUUUCUCCAGUUAGAAUUCCAUGAAAUGUAAAUAUUAAAACAGUUUUAGUGGGAACAACAGAAAUCAAUGUCAUACAAAUGAAUGAAUGUUUGUUAAACUGGAACAUUGACAUUUUUAGAGAGCCGCUGCAUUGUUAAAGUUCCCCCCUUAAGUUACUUCUUUCUUUCUUAACCAAAAAUGUGUAACAUCUGAUCAACAUCCACAGUUGUUGCUACCAUUCAUAAUUACAAGACAUUUUCAUCACAUUUGGACAAUCAGAAGAAAUACAAAAAGUGACUGAGGAAGAGGUAACUUACUUAAAAAACAUGAGUUAGAGUCGACAUGAUCUGAACUCUUUGAAAAACUUCUCAGCUACAAAAUAUGUCAAUGAGUAGCUGUGAGGAGUAGACGCAGAACACAGUCAGCAGUAGGAUUUGUAGACCUGGGUGAGGGUGUUCAGGUUAUGUUGACCUCUCUGUGAUGGAAGAUCUGCAACUGUCUUACAGGCCGUCAUGUAAACAGCUACAGUAGAGAGCAGCUCUGAGACAUGUAGCCUUAUUUUAUUGAUAUUUUAAUGUUAAUAGCCCUUUAGAAAGAAUGUUACCGUAAUCUGUUGAUGAUGAGUACUUUCUUUAUUUACUGGGCCAACACUGCUCCCUAGUGUUGGUUUCACAGGGUAAAACUCACGUUUGGACUUUUGCAUGAGAAAGGGGACAUUUUUAUCCAGUUUAAGGACCUGGUGAUUAAUACCUGUCAAACUUGUAUCAAUCCUGCUGUUUUGGCCAAAAAUAAGACAAAUCCCUGUUUUACCCAGGGAGGGAAUAUGCUGAGGAGUUUGCACUGA